UAUGAAACCUGCGUAUCCAAGGAAAAUCUGUUGAACAUCGAAGUUCACAUGGUGAAAAAAUCUAAUGCUUUGGUAUCAAUGUCAUCCAUUCUUCCGAAGAAUGUUGUACAAAUUACGUCUGUGAUUUUGCACCUGCCCUACCCUUAGUAAAAAUAUGUUGCUGAAGUCAAAACCCAAAGCGAUGAAGCGGAUCCAAGUGACCUCGCAUGAUAUUGCCCACCUGCCUGGCUGAUCCAUCCCGUCGCUCUACCGAUACGCGUUGGAAGCGCUGGAGGCGAGCAUAAUUUUCCACUCUCCAACAAAGAACUACUUCAGUCGACUAUAAACAGGUUGUCUAGCAUAUCAAGAUUACCAAACGAAGAAAUAAAUUAUGAAUGGCACUUCAUAUGGCUCUAUCGGAUUAUUUCGAUACUCUAGAGGUAAUCCUAAAUGAGGCAAAACUAAAAUUGCAUAUAUGUUUUUCAUAAGAUGACUCGUAUUGUUAUGUUCUUAAUAAACCUUAUUUCUUGGUAUAUA